rnacentral:rRNA from 1 species
UACGUAGGGACCAAGCGUUGUUCGGAUUUACUGGGCGUAAAGGGCGCGUAGGCGGCAAUUCAAGUCAUCUGUGAAAUCUCCGGGCUUAACUCGGAACGGUCAGAUGAUACUGCUUUGCUAGAGUGCGGAAGGGGCAAUCGGAAUUCUUGGUGUAGCGGUGAAAUGCGUAGAUAUCGGGAGGAACACCAAUGGCGAAGGCAGCUUGCUGGGACGGUACUGACGCUGAGACGCGAAAGCGUGGGGAGCAAACAGG